ensembl:lncRNA
CAGCGCUUGCGCAUCGAGGCCGAGGGAGCUGGGGCCCAGCGUGCUAAUUUAACAGGACAUGCAGAGAAGGUGGGGAUUGAGAAUUUUGAGCUCCUGAAGGUCUUAGGAACUGGAGCUUACGGAAAGGUGUUUCUCGUGCGUAAAGUCAGUGGCCACGACGCUGGGAAGCUGUACGCCAUGAAGGUUCUGAGGAAGGCCUCCAUAGUGCAGAAGGCCAAGAGCGCGGAGCACACGCGGACGGAGCGGCAGGUGCUGGAGCACGUCCGGCAGUCGCCCUUCCUGGUGACGCUGCACUACGCCUUCCAGACGGAGGCCAAGCUCCACCUCAUCCUGGAUUAUAUAAAUGGUGGAGAGCUUUUUACUCAUCUUUCUCAGAGAGAGCGCUUCACAGAGCGCGAGGUGCAGAUCUAUGCUGGAGAGAUCGUGCUUGCCCUCGGACACCUCCACAAGUUGGGGAUUAUAUACCGUGACAUUAAGCUUGAGAAUAUUCUGCUUGAUUCUGAUGGCCACGUGAUGCUGACGGAUUUUGGUCUGAGUAAGGAGUUUGUGGCUGACGAAGCUGAAAGAGCAUAUUCCUUUUGUGGAACCAUUGAAUACAUGGCGCCAGAUAUUGUCAGAGGGGGAGACUCAGGACAUGACAAGGCAGUUGACUGGUGGAGUUUAGGUGUUCUAAUGUAUGAAUUACUAACUGGAGCAUCUCCGUUCACUGUUGAUGGCGAGAAGAACUCCCAAGCUGAGAUAUCGAGGAGAAUAUUAAAGAGCGAGCCUCCAUAUCCCCAGGAAAUGAGUGCUGUGGCCAAAGACCUGAUCCAGCGUCUCCUGAUGAAAGAUCCCAAGAAAAGACUGGGCUGGGGCCCGCGCGACGCAGAUGAGAUCAGAGAGCACCCCUUCUUCCAGAAAAUAAACUGGGAUGAUUUAGCUGCCAAGAAAGUGCCCGCACCUUUUAAGCCAGUCGUCCGAGAUGAAUUAGAUGUGAGCAACUUUGCAGAAGAAUUCACGGAAAUGGACCCCACCUACUCUCCUGCAGCUGUGCCCCAGAGCUCCGAGAGGCUGUUCCAGGGCUAUUCCUUCGUCGCCCCUUCCAUCCUCUUCAAGCGUAACGCGGCCGUCGUGGACCCGCUCCAGUUCCACGUGGGGGUGGACCGCCCGGGGGCCACGCACGUCGCGAGGAGCGCGAUGCUGAAGGACUCUCCAUUCUACCAACACUACGACCUAGAUCUGAAGGACACACCACUGGGAGAAGGGAGUUUCUCAAUCUGUCGGAAGUGCGUACACAGGAAAAGCAACCAGGCAUUCGCAGUCAAAAUAAUCAGCAGAAGGAUGGAAGCCAGCACUCAGAAAGAGGUGACAGCGCUGCGACUCUGCGAAGGACACCCCAAUAUCGUGAGAUUGCACGAGGUUUUCCAUGACCAGGUAGCCUGCUUUUUCUGUGUGUGCUCUGCGCCCAAAUUCGCAGGCGAGCUGUUUGAACGCAUUAAGAGAAAGAAACAUUUCAGUGAGACAGAAGCCAGCUGCAUCAUGCGGAAGCUGGUUUCAGCUGUAAGCCACAUGCAUGACGUCGGAGUGGUCCACAGAGAUCUGAAACCCGAGAAUUUACUGUUCACUGAUGAAAAUGACAAUUUGGAAAUUAAAGUCAUUGAUUUCGGGUUUCCCCCUGAUAAUCAGCCUCUGAAGACGCCCUGUUUCACUCUUCACUACGCUGCCCCAGAGCUCUUGAAUCACAGCGGCUAUGAUGAGUCCUGCGACCUCUGGAGCUUGGGUGUCAUUUUGUAUACGAUGCUGUCAGGGCAAGUUCCGUUUCAGUCUCAUGAUAAAAGCCUGACGUGCACCAGCGCAGUGGAGAUCGUGAAGAAAAUUAAAAAGGGAGACUUCUCCUUCGAAGGAGAAGCCUGGAAGAACGUAUCCCAAGAGGCUAAAGACUUGAUCCAAGGACUUCUCACAGUCGAUCCAAACAAAAGGCUUAAAAUGCCUGACUUGAGAUACAGUGAAUGGCUUCAAGAUGGCAGUCAGCUGUCCUCGAAUCCUCUGAUGACUCCGGACAUUCUGGGCUCUUCAGGAGCUGCGGUGCACACGUGUGUGAAAGCCACCUUCCACGUGAGGCUCUGGCUCUGCGCUCCUGGUUUGCGUCUGAUAAACCAAAACUCCAGUCCACCCCUCCCCCCCCCUCCCUCUCGGCUACCGUGA